rnacentral:rRNA from 1 species
UACGUAGGGUGCGAGCGUUGUCCGGAAUUAUUGGGCGUAAAGGGCUCGUAGGCGGUUUGUCGCGUCGGGCGUGAAAACCCGGUGCUUAACACCUGGCUUGCUUUCGAUACGGGCAGACUAGAGGCAUGCAGGGGAGAACGGAAUUCCUGGUGUAGCGGUGAAAUGCGCAGAUAUCAGGAGGAACACCGGUGGCGAAGGCGGUUCUCUGGGCAUGUCCUGACGCUGAGGAGCGAAAGUGUGGGGAGCGAACAGG